rnacentral:misc_RNA from 1 species
AAAGUCGUAACAAGGUUUCCGUAGGUGAACCUGCGGAAGGAUCAUUAACAAAUCUUGGGGGGUGAGUUGAGGGGUGUGAUGUUGCUUUCGCGGCAUCACAUCAUCUCAGUGAACCCAACACAUUGACUCGGGCGCUACUCUGAUCACUUUCUUGGUGAUUAGUGGAGAUUGCCCUGAGACAUACACGCUUGUUUUGUUUGACUGAGUUAUGGUGAAAAUUAAAUUAUGACAACUUUUAACAAUGGAUCUCUUGGCUCUU